GCUGGGGAGUACGGCCGCAAGGCUAAAACUCAAAGGAAUUGACGGGGGCCCGCACAAGCGGCGGAGCAUGCGGAUUAAUUCGAUGCAACGCGAAGAACCUUACCAAGGCUUGACAUAUACCGGAAACGGCCAGAGAUGGUCGCCCCGCAAGGUCGGUAUACAGGUGGUGCAUGGUUGUCGUCAGCUCGUGUCGUGAGAUGUUGGGUUAAGUCCCGCAACGAGCGCAACCCUCGUCCUAUGUUGCCAGCACGUCAUGGUGGGAACUCAUGGGAUACUGCCGGGGUCAACUCGGAGGAAGGUGGGGAUGAGGUCAAAUCAUCAUGCCCCUUAUGUCUUGGGCUUCACGCAUGCUACAAUGGCCGGUACAAUGGGCUGCGAUACCGCGAGGUGGAGCGAAUCCCAAAAAGCCGGUCUCAGUUCGGAUUGAGGUCUGCAACUCGACCUCAUGAAGUCCUAGUCGCUAGUAAUCGCAGAUCAGCAACGCUGCGGUGAAUACGUUCCCGGGCCUUGUACACACCGCCCGUCAAGUCAUGAAAGUCGGUAACGUCCGAAGCCA
rnacentral:rRNA from 1 species